CUUAUCUCAUACAAGAGCAGUAAACGCACGCAUUUCAAAGCGAAAUUAGACGCAAAGGGGCAAUUUUUCAACAAAAUUCAUUGUUAAAUUAUGUUUCCUAUGUGCCUUGGGAGCAAAAAAAUAUGAUUUUAAGUUUGGAGAUUUCGGUAAAUUUUUUUGCAAUUUGGCCUGGUAUUGCACCCUACCUAUGUACUAACUGUGCUGUAAAAGUAAUCAAAUAUACUAUUUUUAAUUUCCUUUCAUUGAAAGGAUCUACUAUUGUGGACUAAACUAAAUUUUAAUCAGCAUGUAAGGCUGCAAACAACAGCCAAGAAUUAGCUGGGUAGUUUGCAAACUUUAAAAAUAAUUGGACCUCAAACUUUGAUCUCCAGAAGUAAACAAAUAGACAAUACUGCGAACAUAAUCCAAGUUUUGAUCACGAGGGGCAAUUUUUAGAUGUAAAAAAACUUGUUUAAAUUACAUAUCAAACUAAGACAAAACAAAAUUUGGUAUUAAAUUUUUGGUGAAAUCGUCAAAGUUUUUUGCUAUCCGCCCACACUUCUACACCCCCUCUCCCAGGAUAUUCUACCUCAAAAAACAGUUUUCUGCAGAAACUAUGCUUUUUUAUUGGAAAAAUGUUUACUUUUCUCAAAAAAUACAUUAUAAACACGGAAACCUUAAAUAUUUAAAUAAUUUUCAUACCUUUUUGGGAUUGAAAAAAGCAAAAUUUGAUUCAUUAUCCCACUUUUUAAAAUAUAUGUGAUAAAGUUGCUUCAAAAUCACCAUCACGCAGUAGCAUGUUUAUUUACCCUCAUCCUUUUGACUGAAUGAAGUUUAUCGUUUUGAAAAGCUAUUUGUUUUAUAGCUCUUGGUUACCGGUUUACGUUUAUGUCGAUUUUGGCACCCAUGAGACCAACAAAUUGUGGUAAUCCGCGAAUGAAAAUGGACAUUCGAAGAGCACAAAAGCCAACUCCUAGCUAUGUAACUUUAUCGCCUGAAGUUUGAAUCAAUCCAAAAUUAAAAUGCUGAUAAUGUAGAUGCUUUCCAUACUUGAGAUGUUAGUGAAGUUUUUCCUACAAUUUAAUUUCCAUGAUCGCCGUCUUAAAAAUGCAAAAUCAUCAGUUGAAAUUUCACUCGUGUUGUUUUUUCAAAUUUUCGAAUUUUUGUAAAAUAUCGCGUGCGCCAGCAAUUUCUCUGCACAGCGACAACAAAUUUCCCAGCUGCUUCAUUUCGCUAUUUCGCAAACACUUUCGCUCAAUCUGCUUGAAUUUUUAAUUUUUUAAUUUUGCUGUGGCGAAAACAGUCGCUCUUUGAAACUGGAAAUAUGAUUUUUAAAAUUUGUGCUAGAACUUGGAACUAUAAAGUAUGGUUUAAACUGAAC